GAAGGAGACCUUUGAAUGGAAAAUCCUUCCCUUGAUGGCUUGAAGCUCCAUCUUUCCUUCCUCCUCUCUUGAAGCUAGCAAGGUUGUUGGUUAGCCUUGCGGUGCUCUGAGGGUUAAGUGGUGGAGUGCCCCUCCUCGGGAUCAUCGCGGCAGUUGUCACAUUCUGUGGACCCUUCGGGUCUGGCCAUGACAUCAUAUAUAUUCAUUUUCAUGUUAAAUUACAGAAACAUUUCAUCUAGAAUUAGUCAAUUUCAUCAAUUAUCAAGAUGGCAUGGUAGCGCAAAGUUAGAGAACAUUAUAGAUCAUUGAUGUGUGUCUUUAGAAAAGGUAAAGAAAAAACAUUGUAUGUGACUGAUACUGCGUGGCAAAUAUGGAAUGAAGCAUGCAAUUCCUCGGAGUUUAAAGCUCGAAGCCUGAAAUUUUCUACAAAGAAUUUUAUUAAGGUUGAAGGACGUGGAUUUGGUAUAUCCCGGCACUUAGGAGGCACUAUUUCUCACAUAUGUCAUGCAAAGAAAUUGCGAUCGAGGCUUGGUCGUGACCCUCUUCCAAAUGAGCUUUUCGAAGCGACACUUACAAAGAAGGGAUCGUUAUUUGGACCUUAUGGAUCAAGCAUCUCAAACACAAGAAGAGAGUAAUAAGUCUUCAAUUUUAGACAAAGGAAAUAUAUUACUUCAGGUUUAUGGAGUAGGCUCCCAAGCAUCUAUUUUUAUCCCUAGCUAUCGCAAAGCUCAUCUACAGGAACAUCAUCCCAGGAGCUACAAAUUAAGAUUACACAGCUGUGUGAGACUAUUGAUCAGCUACAAGAUAAAAACAAAGAGCAUCAGGAGAGUUUGUACGAGAUGAGGGCGGACAAAGAUGAGUAUCAUGAUCAGAUGAUGUGUUGAACGUAGGAUAUGAUGAUAAACUUCGAGGCUAGGAUCCUUCAGUGCUCAUAGUUCACUCAGGACUCACAUCCAGCUAGUAAUUAUCAUGAUAUUGACCAUCUAUAUAAGUUGUAGUUUAUUUGUUAUUUGUUAGUAUUUUACUUUUGUUAAACUUCAU